AGUGAACGCUGGCGGCAGGCCUAACACAUGCAAGUCGAACGGCAGCACAGUAAGAGCUUGCUCUUACGGGUGGCGAGUGGCGGACGGGUGACGAAUACAUCGGAAUCUACUUUUUCGUGGGGGAUAACGUAGGGAAACUUAUGCUAAUACCGCAUAUGACCUACGGGUGUAAGCAGGGGUUCUUCGGACCUUGCGCGAUUGAAUGAGCCGAUGUCGGAUUAGCUAGUUGGCGGGGUAAAGGCCCACCAAGGCGACGCUCCGUAGCUGGUCUGAGAGGGUGAACAGACAGACUGGAACAGAGGCAGGGCCCAGACUCCUACGGGAGGCCGCAGUGGAGAAUAUUAGGCAAUGGGGGCAAGCCUGAUACAGCAAUACCGGGUGGAGCAUGAAGGACUUAUGGUUGUAAAGCGCUUAUGUUGGGAGAGAAAAGCAGCAGGUUAAUACCCCGCUAUUCUGACGGUACCGAAAGAAUAAGCACCGGCUAACUUCGUG
rnacentral:rRNA from 1 species